GCUGCGCCGGGGUGCCACAAAUAUGGGCGCGCCGCUAUCUCUCAUCCUCUCAUCGUUCUCCUGGAUCGUAGCCGUUGACGUCAGAUCGCGCUUGGUGGCUCGAGAGGCUGCCACCAAGCGAGCGCGGCGCCGGGCGGAUCCUGAGACGGUGCGCGCCAAGGAAGCCACUGCGAAAUAGGCUCAACGAGAAGCGGACCCUGGAAUGCGGUAAACGGCAGCGAAACGCGCGUGGCACCGGGUGGACCCAUAUGCUGCUCCUCGAAGGAUUCACGGCAAUCAACGGACCUGGCGUGUCAACGACGGGCGAUAAUCAAACCCCUCCUUUAGGGGCGUUGACACGGGAGAACAAUGACUGUACACAGCUGGAUUUUACGCCGCCGAGAGAACCCUCUUGCUAAACCGGUUCGCUGCAGCGCUCAAGGAUACGCGCUGACGAGCAGACAUAUAGCUUCUUGCCUCCUUGUAUACCCCAAAUAUUAGAUGUGAUGUUUUCUCCGUGCACCUGAUCGAUAAACAAAGAACGCCUUCACAAAAAACUA